rnacentral:rRNA from 1 species
UAAUCUAAUCUGGUAAAGCGAAUGAUUAGAGGCAUUAGGGCCGAAACGACCUUAACCUAUUCUCAAACUUUAAUUGGGUAAGACCCUCACCUUUCUUGAUAUGAAGGUUGAGGUUAUGAUAUAUUGUGCCCAGUGGGCCACUUUGGGUAAGCAGAACUGGCGCUGUGGGAUGAACCAAACGUGAUGUUACGGUGCCCAAAUUGACAACUCAUACUGAUACCAUGAAAGGCGUUGCUUGCUUAAAACAGCAGGACGGUGGACAUGGAAGUCGUAAUCCGCUAAGGAGUGUGUAACAACUCACCUGCCGAAGCAACUAGCCCUUAAAAUGGAUGGCGCUCAAGUUGUUUACCUAUACAUCACCGCUAAAGCAUAUGAUUUAUAAAUUUAUUAAUUUAUAAUAAAUUUUGGAGCUUUAGUGAGUAGGAGGGUCCAAUGGUGUGCAUAGAAGUGUUUGGCGUAAGCCUGCAUGGAGCCGCCAUUGGCACAGAUCUUGGUGGUAGUAGCAAAUAAUCGAAUGAGACCUUGGAGGACUGAAGUGGAGAAGGGUUUCGUGUGAACAGUGGUUGAUCACGAGUUAGUCGGUCCUAAGUUCAAGGCGAAAGCCGAAAUAUUUUAAGUUUUGAAGAUUUUCUUUUGAAAUAAUAUAUACUUAAAUAUAUUUUGAACGAAAGGGAAUACGGUUCCAAUUCCGUAACCUGUUGAGUAUACGUUUGUUAUUAAAUAUGGGCUUUCACGCUCAUCCUGGUAACAGAAACAACCAUAAAGAAGCCGUCGAGAGAUAUCGAAAGAGUUUUCUUUUCUGUUUUAUAGUCGUACUACCAUGGAAGUCUUUCGAAGAGAGAUAUGGUAGAUGGGCUAGAAGAGCAUGGCAUUUACUGCUGUGUCGAUAUUUUCUCCUCGGACCUUGAAAAUUUAUGGUGGGGUCACGCAAACUUCUUAACAGGCCGUACCGAUAUCCGCAGCUGGUCUCCAAGGUGAAGAGUCUCUAGUCGAUAGAAUAAUGUAGGUAAGGGAAGUCGCCAAAUUAGAUCCGUAACUUCGGGAUAAGGAUUGGCUCUGAAGAUUGAGAUAGUCGGGCUUGAUUGGGAAACAAUAAAAUGGUUUAUGUACUCGUUCUGGGUAAAUAGGAAUUGUUCCUUUUUUUUUAUAAAAAUUGUAUUUAUCUGUUCCCCGGAUAGCAGGCUACGUAACCAAUUGUGGAACUUUCUUGCUAAUAAUUUAUUAAGGUUUUUUUUUUCAUAAGAAGAAUUUUUUUAUAAAUUUAUAACGGCUAUCAAUUAACAAUCAAUUCAGAACUGGCACGGACUUGGGGAAUCCGACUGUCUAAUUAAAACAAAGCAUUGUGAUGGCCCUAACGGGUGUUGACACAAUGUGAUUUCUGCCCAGUGCUCUGAAUGUCAAAGUGAAGAAAUUCAAGUAAGCGCGGGUAAACGGCGGGAGUAACUAUGACUCUCUUAAGGUAGCCAAAUGCCUCGUCAUCUAAUUAGUGACGCGCAUGAAUGGAUUAACGAGAUUCCUACUGUCCCUAUCUACUAUCCAGCGAAACCNNNNNNNNNNNAACGGGCUUGGAAUAAUUAGCGGGGAAAGAAGACCCUGUUGAGC